rnacentral:rRNA from 1 species
UACGGAGGGUGCAAGCGUUAUCCGGAUUCACUGGGUUUAAAGGGUGCGUAGGUGGGCUAGUAAGUCAGUGGUGAAAUCCCCGAGCUUAACUUGGGAACUGCCGUUGAUACUAUUAGUCUUGAAUAUCGUGGAGGUAAGCGGAAUAUGUCAUGUAGCGGUGAAAUGCUUAGAUAUGACAUAGAACACCAAUUGCGAAGGCAGCUUGCUACACGGUCAUUGACACUGAGGCACGAAAGCGUGGGGAUCAAAC